CCUACGGGGGGCUGCAGUGAGGAAUAUUGCGCAAUGGGGGAAACCCUGACGCAGCAACGCCGCGUGAGUGAGGAAGGUUUUCGGACCGUAAAGCUCUGUCGAGCGGGAAGAAGUGCAUGGUGGCUAAUAUCCAUUAUGCUUGACGGUACCGCUAAAGGAAGCACCGGCUAACUCCGUGCCAGCAGCCGCGGUAAUACGGGGGGUGCUAGCGUUCGGCGGAAGCGUGGGGCCGACUGGACAAGUCAGCGGUGAAAGCCCUGGGCGUAACCUAGGAAGUGCAUUUGAAACUGUUCAGCUUGAGUAAGGGAGAGGAAAGUGGAAUUCCUGGUGUAGAGGUGAAAUUCGUAGAUAUCAGGAGGAACACCGGUGGCGAAGGCGACUUUCUGGCCCUAUACUGACGCUGAGACGCGAGAGCGUGGGUAGCAAACAGGAUUAGAUACCCCAGUAGUC
rnacentral:rRNA from 1 species